rnacentral:rRNA from 1 species
UACAGAGGGUGCAAGCGUUAAUCGGAAUUACUGGGCGUAAAGCGUGCGUAGUCGGUUAUUUAAGUCGGAUGUGAAAUCCCCGGGCUCAACCUGGGAAUUGCAUUCGAUACUGGAUAGCUAGAGUUCGGCAGAGGGAAGCGGAAUUUCUGGUGUAGCGGUGAAAUGCGUAGAUAUCAGAAGGAACAUCAGUGGCGAAAGCGACUUCCUGGACCAGUACCGACGUUCAGGCACGAAAGCGUGGGGAGCAAACAGG